AAGGGUAUAGCUUAGUGGUAAAGCAUUUGCCUAGCAUGUAUAAGGCCCUGGGUUCAAUCCCCAGCACCUUAA
rnacentral:tRNA from 2 species